rnacentral:rRNA from 1 species
GACGAACGCUGGCGGCGUGCUUAACACAUGCAAGUCGAACGGAAAGGCCCUGCUUUUGUGGGGUGCUCGAGUGGCGAACGGGUGAGUAACACGUGAGUAACCUGCCCUUGACUUUGGGAUAACUUCAGGAAACUGGGGCUAAUACCGGAUAGGGGCUCCUGCUGCAUGGUGGGGGUUGGAAAGUUUCGGCGGUUGGGGAUGGACUCGCGGCUUAUCAGCUUGUUGGUGGGGUAGUGGCUUACCAAGGCUUUGACGGGUAGCCGGCCUGAGAGGGUGACCGGCCACAUUGGGACUGAGAUACGGCCCAGACUCCUACGGGAGGCAGCAGUGGGGAAUAUUGCACAAUGGGCGGAAGCCUGAUGCAGCAACGCCGCGUGCGGGAUGACGGCCUUCGGGUUGUAAACCGCUUUCGCCUGUGACGAAGCGUGAGUGACGGUAAUGGGUAAAGAAGCACCGGCUAUCUACGUG